rnacentral:tRNA from 1 species
GCCAUCUUAGCUCAGUUGGUAGAGCGUUUGAUUCGUAAUCAAAAGGUCGUGGGUUCGACUCCCAUAGAUGGCU